CAAUAGCGUAUAUUAAAGUUGUUGCGGUUAAAAAGCUCGUAGUUGGAUUUCUGCCGAGGACGACCGGUCCGCCCUCUGGGUGAGUAUCUGGCUUGGCCUGGGCAUCUUCUUGGAGAACGUAGCUGCACUUGACUGUGUGGUGCGGUAUCCAGGACUUUUACUUUGAGGAAAUUAGAGUGUUCAAAGCAGGCUUAUGCCUUGAAUAUAUUAGCAUGGAAUAAUGAUAUAGGACCUUGGUACUAUUUUGUUGGUUUGCGCACUGAGGUAAUGAUUAAGAGGGACAGUUGGGGGUAUUUGUAUUCCAUUGUCAGAGGUGAAAUUCUUGGAUUUUUGGAAGACAAACUACUGCGAAAGCAUUUACCAAGGAUGUUUUCAUUAAUCAAGAACGAAAGUUAGGGGAUCGAAGACGAUCAGAUACCAU
rnacentral:rRNA from 1 species